AUAUAUGGCCAUACCACCCUGGUCCUGGAAACUAAGCAGGAUAAGGCUUGGCCAGGAAUUGGAUAGGAGAUUGCCUGGGAAUACUGGAAGAGGUGGACU
ensembl:rRNA 5S_rRNA 5S ribosomal RNA